rnacentral:lncRNA from 10 species
CAAAAGAUUAUAACCAUUCUGAGUGGGAGUAACGACAGGCACAAUCAUAGUGAGGAAGAGUAAUUUCUGACUGUUACAUGCCUGACACACAGAAUUUACUGAGGAGGAACACUGAUAUUCAUACCACUUCAUCCAACAACUAUUAUUUUAGCAACUACUAUAUACCAGACACUCUUCUAUACACCAGGAAUAUACCAAUCAACAUGCAGACCAAAGUCCCCAUGCUUAUGUAACUCAUACCCUAUUGCACUGAGAAAGGUUUGAGACAUGGGAGAAAGGUGGGUCGGAGAUUUUUGCUUAGUUGUUUAUUGAGACCAAGUUCCUUGAUUGUACAACUAUGCUCUAGUAUUUUUUAAAAACAGAAAAAAGUAAAGAAAGACACUACACACACACACACAUACACAUAUACAAAUACACAUAAAUAUAUACCUAUUUAUGUAUAUAUUCAUGCAUAAUCAUAUAUAUAAUUAACAAUACCACUCCCCUCACCCCAUAUGUGUUUCUAUGAGGAAGAAGGUAUUCGUUCUCUCAGAUGGUUUCACAGUUGAAAAGCAAAGCAGAUGGCUCUUCUAGAGGAGGCAGCUUGCUUGCUAAAAUGUCAUGGAUAUACAGAAAUAAAACCGAAAAUGAAAUGAAAGGCAAGAAAAUAUUCUCAUUUGAAUAAUGAACUAUCUGAUGUUUCCUUAGAGCCACACAGCUCAGAUAACAAAAAGAAACACUCUCAGACCCUUUGUUCUGCAUUUACGACAAAACUCAAACCACAUGUCUGUCAUGUAAUAAGCCACUCUGGAUCAUUUUUUGAAGAAUAAUAAUCAUUGUUUGAUGGAACCACUUGUAAAACACAGAAGGCACCCCAGAGAAGCUGGCACUCAUAGUAAACUAUCCAAGGGAUAAUUUGUGGCAACAAAUGAUACACUGAAUAUUGCAUUUAAACUUUAAAACAAUUGUUCACACACAAAAGAAAACUAAUGGCUGAGCUCUCGCUCCACCCCAGCUUCCUGUCACUGUUCAUUUUUCAGUUUCCCCAUGGUUGAAGGAAGCCCUUGGGACUUAUGGCAGCAGAUAGCUCAAAACGAUGCCUGUAGAGCUUUUGUAAUUAUUAUUAUGUUAAACACAUAAUUUGGUUGCUUUGUUCUGUGAGUAUAUGUGCUUAUUUCAGCCUCAUAAUAGUUGCCAGAUUCAGCUGUGUGAUUUGUAUCCUGCAAUAAAAUGCACCGACCACAAGUUUGCCUUUCUGCACCCACGUUUCCACCAGCACUGUGCAAACCAACAAUGCCCAUUAUUGUCUCGGGAGUUUUGCGUAGACCUGAAGUGACAAAGGGGAGUAACUUCAGACAAAUCAACAGAAUGUAAUUACAGAUUUCACAUGAGCCAAGAGACCCACCUGCAAAGCCUGACCAAAGUUUGCUGUCUUUCCAACUACCUCCUGGGACAGGAAAAAUCCCCAGAAAAAGAUUAAAUGAAAGAUACUAGAGAUGUGACCUCCAGCACUGUCAGUGUGGACUAGAACCAAGUUGUUAAGGCCCCUGGGAUCUCCAUGAUAGGAAAGAGGAGCCAACCAUUGUAUAAACCCUUCUGAUUGCCGUCCCACCCUGGGAUCCCUCCUCCUCAAGCUUAUUCUGAGAACAAAGCAAUUUGCCUGCUGCUUAGAAACAAAUCACCCAGGUCUGAACAAACAAAGCAGACACUUCUUUUAUGGAGGAGAAGUUGAGAGACCCUAAAAGUACUGUGAGUUAGAAAGGGAAGAGGUUUAAAAAAUUGAUGAAAUUGUUUUCCCUUAAGAGUAAUUUAACUGAAUAGUGAGCGGCCAAUUGUUAGGAUUUGAAAACAAUUCAGAAGCUAUAGAAAUCCUUUUGACUGUAACCUCCCUUACCCAGACCUUGGUCUCAUGAGAAAGAAAACUUUCUUAGCUUAGAGUCAUAGCAGAUAAUGCCUCCACUAAAGUUCCCAGUAAGGGCAGAUGAAUGAAUCAACAGGAAGCAGCCAGCAGUGCUUUGUGCUUUGACAAAUCCUGGCUUUCAAACUCAGGCCUCUCUCCUAUAUAGUGGAGAAAUCAGAUAAUAUAUUGAAGAGGUGAUCACAACUUAAAUUAUCAAGGAGGCGUAGACAGACAUUGGGUGCCUCUGGUGCAACAUCCUAAGAAGGACAUGACGUCACCUAGGUAGUCUUCCAGCAGAACACAGAAAAACUAAAUCUAAUCAUGAGGAAACGUCAGAAAAAAAUCAGGAGCAUUUUAUUUAAAAAAUUAGAAGCAUUUUAUUUAAAAGGGGAGAGAGGCUGGAGGUUUCACAAACGGUGAUGUGAUAAAAGUCAUAGUCACUGAAAAGUUGAGGAACUCUUGCAGAUUAAAGAAAAUUAAAGAGAUAUGAAAACUAAAUAUAAUAUGUGAUCGUAGAGUGGAUUCCAUAUGGAGGGGGA